GAGAACAGCUGGCCCCUGAUGCAUGGGGCAGCCCAGGUGUGAAUCGGGGCCUCGGCACCCAUCUUAGUUCUAUGGCCAUAGAACCCUGCCGAGCAUCACGCAGAGAGGUCUGUUCUAUCUCAAGAUGGAGACAAGGUAUCUGAUUCAGGUGCCAAGGCUCACGAAUCUUGGAAUACAGUCAGCUACAAUCAUGGGUGAUUCUCCAGAUGAAGAGACCGAAUACUGGCAAAACAAGAAGCAGAUUUGGACCAUCACAUUCCUACUCUAAUAGAUGCUGAGAAAUGGACGCAGGACAACCACCCCCAAGUUUCCUGGUACUGCCGCUGUCAUUACAGAAUCCUGGCUCCUUCAAGGUAUCAUCUCUUGCCCCUGCCAGAGAAAACCAGUCUUUAAAAGAAACUAAA